GACGAACGCUGGCGGCGUGCUUAACACAUGCAAGUCGAACGGAAAGGCCCUGCUUUUGUGGGGUGCUCGAGUGGCGAACGGGUGAGUAACACGUGAGUAACCUGCCCUUGACUUUGGGAUAACUUCAGGAAACUGGGGCUAAUACCGGAUAGGAGCUCCUGCUGCAUGGUGGGGGUUGGAAAGUUUCGGCGGUUGGGGAUGGACUCGCGGCUUAUGAGCUUGUUGGUGGGGUAGGUGCUUACCAAGGCUUUGACGGGUAGGCGGCCUGAGAGGGUGACCGGCCACAUGAGGACUGAGAUACGGACCAGACUGCUACGGGAGGCAGCAGUGGGGAAUAUGGCACAAUGGGCGGGAGCCUGAGGCAGAAACGCCGCGGGCGGGAUGACGGCCUUCGGGUUGUAAACCGCUUUAGCCUGUGACGAAGCGUGAGUGACGGUAAUGGGUAAAGAAGCACCGGCUAACUACGUG
rnacentral:rRNA from 1 species